rnacentral:rRNA from 1 species
AUGGAGCCGACCUUGAAAUACCACCCUUUAAUGUUUGAUGUUCUAACGUGGACCCGUGAUCCGGGUUGCGGACAGUGUCUGGUGGGUAGUUUGACUGGGGCGGUCUCCUCCUAAAGAGUAACGGAGGAGCACGAAGGUUGGCUAAUCCUGGUCGGACAUCAGGAGGUUAGUGCAAUGGCAUAAGCCAGCUUGACUGCGAGCGUGACGGCGCGAGCAGGUGCGAAAGCAGGUCAUAGUGAUCCGGUGGUUCUGAAUGGAAGGGCCAUCGCUCAACGGAUAAAAGGUACUCCGGGGAUAACAGGCUGAUACCGCCCAAGAGUUCAUAUCGACGGCGGUGUUUGGCACCUCGAUGUCGGCUCAUCACAUCCUGGGGCUGAAGUAGGUCCCAAGGGUAUGGCUGUUCGCCAUUUAAAGUGGUACGCGAGCUGGGUUUAGAACGUCGUGAGACAGUUCGGUCCCUAUCUGCCGUGGGCGCUGGAGAACUGAGGGGGGCUGCUCCUAGUACGAGAGGACCGGAGUGGACGCAUCACUGGUGUUCGGGUUGUCAUGCCAAUGGCACUGCCCGGUAGCUAAAUGCGGAAGAGAUAAGUGCUGAAAGCAUCUAAGCACGAAACUUGCCCCGAGAUGAGUUCUCCCUGACUCCUUGAGAGUCCUGAAGGAACGUUGAAGACGACGACGUUGAUAGGCCGGGUGUGUAAGCGCAGCGAUGCGUUGAGCUAACCGGUACUAAUGAACCGUGAGGCUUAACCUUACAAC